rnacentral:rRNA from 1 species
GGCGACACCGCGCGGAACCGAAGCCGUUCUCAGUUCGGAUCGGAGUCUGCAACCCGACUCCGUGAAGCUGGAUUCGCUAGUAAUCGCGCAUCAGCCAUGGCGCGGUGAAUACGUUCCCGGGCCUUGUACACACCGCCCGUCAAGCCAUGGGAGCCGGGGGUGCUUGAAGUGCGUCGCCGCAAGGCGCGCCCUAGAGCAAAACCGGUGACUGGGGCUAAGUCGUAACAAGGUAGC